rnacentral:rRNA from 1 species
CCGACGGGAGGCAGCAGUAAGGAAUAUUGGUCAAUGGGCGCAAGCCUGAACCAGCCAUGCCGCGUGCAGGAAGACGGCCCUAUGGGUUGUAAACUGUUUUUGAACAAGAGAAAACCUCGGUACGUGCACCGAGCUGAUAGUAUUGUUAGAAUAAGCAUCGGCUAACUUCGUGCCAGCAGCCGCGGUAAGACGAAGGAUGCAAGCGUUAUCCGGAUUCAUUGGGUUUAAAGGGUGCGUAGGCGGCCUGAUAAGUCAGUGGUGAAAUCUCUCAGCUUAACUGAGAAACUGCCAUUGAUACUGUCGGGCUUGAGUACAGAUGAUGUGGGCGGAAUAUGACAUGUAGUGGUGAAAUACUUAGAUAUGUCAUAGAACACCGAUUGCGAAGGCAGCUCACAAAACUGUAACUGACGCUGAGGCACGAAAGUGCGGGGAUCAAACAGGAUUAGAUACCCUGGUAGUCCGCACCGUAACGAUGAUUACUCGUUGUUGGCAUAUGACCGUCAGCGACCAGCGAAAGCGANAGAUCCCNCGNGGAGAGCGCGACGAGACGACGAGAGUAGAGCGNGAGAGNGCGAGGCGCGACGAGGGAGAG